rnacentral:rRNA from 1 species
UACAGAGGCCCCGAGCGUUACCCGGAAUUACUGGGCGUAAAGAGUGCGUAGGUGGUCGUGUUAGUCGUUUGUUAAACCCCAGGGCCCAACCCUGGAAUCGCAGGCGAAACGGCACGACUUGAGGGCGUGAGAGGUACAUGGAACUCAUGGUGUAGGGGUGAAAUCCGUUGAUAUCAUGGGGAACACCGAAAGCGAAGGCAAUGUACUGGCGCGUUCCUGACACUCAAGCACGAAAGCGUGGGUAGCGAACGGG